rnacentral:rRNA from 1 species
UAACUAUAACGGUCCUAAGGUAGCGAAAUUCCUUGUCGGGUAAGUUCCGACCUGCACGAAUGGCGUAAUGAUGGCCAGGCUGUCUCCACCCGAGACUCAGUGAAAUUGAACUCGCUGUGAAGAUGCAGUGUACCCGCGGCAAGACGGAAAGACCCCGUGAACCUUUACUAUAGCUUGACACUGAACAUUGAGCCUUGAUGUGUAGGAUAGGUGGGAGGCUUUGAAGCGUGGACGCCAGUCUGCGUGGAGCCGACCUUGAAAUACCACCCUUUAAUGUUUGAUGUUCUAACGUGGACCCGUAAUCCGGGUUGCGGACAGUGUCUGGUGGGUAGUUUGACUGGGGCGGUCUCCUCCUAAAGAGUAACGGAGGAGCACGAAGGUUGGUUAAUCCUGGUCGGACAUCAGGAGGUUAGUGCAAUGGCAUAAGCCAGCUUGACUGCGAGCGUGACGGCGCGAGCAGGUGCGAAAGCAGGUCAUAGUGAUCCGGUGGUUCUGAAUGGAAGGGCCAUCGCUCAACGGAUAAAAGGUACUCCGGGGAUAACAGGCUGAUACCGCCCAAGAGUUCAUAUCGACGGCGGUGUUUGGCACCUCGAUGUCGGCUCAUCACAUCCUGGGGCUGAAGUAGGUCCCAAGGGUAUGGCUGUUCGCCAUUUAAAGUGGUACGCGAGCUGGGUUUAGAACGUCGUGAGACAGUUCGGUCCCUAUCUGCCGUGGGCGAUGGAGAACUGAGGGGGGCUGCUCCUAGUACGAGAGGACCGGAGUGGACGCAUCACUGGUGUUCGGGUUGUCAUGCCAAUGGCACUGCCCGGUAGCUAAAUGCGGAAGAGAUAAGUGCUGAAAGCAUCUAAGCACGAAACUUGCCCCGAGAUGAGUUCUCCCUGAGACUUAGAGUCUCCUGAAGGAACGUUGAAGACGACGACGUUGAUAGGCCGGGUGUGUAAGCGCAGCGAUGCGUUGAGCUAACCGGUACUAAUGAACCGUGAGGCUUAACCUU